CUAAGGAUGAUCCUUCAGCGAGCUCACGCUCACUAUCGGAUCGUUUUAGAAACAUCAGUGGCCUACAGAUCGCCAGAUCGUUGAGCUGCAUUGGCGGGAUUUCGCCGUCUUCGUUUCUCUUUCUUCGCGGACGAACACGCGCCGGGGCUGCGCUGUGCGAUUGCAUUCGGCGCUGGUCGCCGAUGCAUGCACGCAAGACCCUAGUCCUGAAAGGGAUAGCGUUAGGGCUUGUAGCUCAGUUGGUUAGAGCGCGCGCUUGAUAAGCGUGAGGUCGGAAGUUCAAGUCUUCCCAGGCCCACCACUUUCAUCGAGUGAGCAUUCGUCUUCUGGUUACGGGGCCAUAGCUCAGCUGGGAGAGCGCGUGCUUUGCAAGCAUGAGGUCGUCGGUUCGAUCCCGUCUGGCUCCACCAGAUGGUUUGAUCACCGAGAUCUUGACCGUCGUCCGCGAAACAUCACUUCGCAUCUUGCUAGUCUGGAUAGACAGCAAGUUGCGUGUUUUCUGACAUCGUAAAGAGGAGAUCGAUCCGAGUUGGGUCGUGCAGCAUAUCGUUGCGCGAGCCUUCAUUAUCUCCGGAUCAUUUCGGCGCUCGCUUUCAGCCGUGAGGUUGAAUGCGGGUUGUAAAUGAUCCUUUUAGCGAAGCUUGACCGCCUCGCUAUCGGAACGAUCUUACGAAGCAAGCUGGUCUUUCUAGUCAAUGUCCGGCUGUACGUAGCAUUCAUCGAGGGUGCGCGCCUGGGACUUUCGGUCUCUUGGCAAUCGUACGGACAACAUUCUGCCGAGUGUGUGGACAUUGAUAAUGAGAGCAAUCAAGUGCCUUAAGGGUGUUCGGUGGAUGCCUUGGCGCUGAGAGGCGAUGAAGGACGUGCUACGCUGCGAUAAGCCGUGGGGAGCUGCGAAGAAGCUUUGAUCCGCGGAUUU
rnacentral:misc_RNA from 1 species